UGGCAGCAACGCAGAUGCCGGAGGGGGCUGCGGAAGAGGCGGCAGCGGCAGCUCCAGGGAGGCCCAGCAACUGAGGAAGGGCAGAGAAGGCCAGAAUGACCAGAGAACCUGCUGUAGAGAAAGGCUUUUGGGGUUUGAGCAUCUGCACCUUCAGAAGCUGCGCUGAAGCCUUCAUAGGCAGCCUCUGCCUUGUGAGGGAAGGCACCUCCACCAGGGGCUGGAAAUUAAACCCAGAACUUGAGUCUUGGAUGCUUUAGGCAGUGCCUUGAAAGAACUUCCUGGAACGGUGUG